rnacentral:rRNA from 1 species
GAUGAACGCUGGCGGCGUGCCUAAUACAUGCAAGUCGAGCGAAUGGAUUAAGAGCUUGCUCUUAUGAAGUUAGCGGCGGACAGGUGAGUAACACGUGGGUAACCUGCCCAUAAGACUGGGAUAACUCCGGGAAACCGGGGCUAAUACCGGAUAACAUUUUGAACCGCAUGGUUCGAAAUUGAAAGGCGGCUUCGGCUGUCACUUAUGGAUGGACCCGCGUCGCAUUAGCUAGUUGGUGAGGUAACGGCUCGCCAAGGCAACGAUGCGUAGCCGACCGGAGAGGGUGAUCGGCCACACUGGGACUGAGACACGGCCCAGACUCCUACGGGAGGCAGCAGUAGGGAAUCUUCCGCAAUGGACGAAAGUCUGACGGAGCAACGCCGCGUGAGUGAUGAAGGCUUUCGGGUCGUAAAACUCUGUUGUUAGGGAAGAACAAGUGCUAGUUGAAUAAGCUGGCACCUUGACGGUACCUAACCAGAAAGCCACGGCUAACUACGUGCCAGCCGCCGCCGUAA